UUUUCCCCUUUUCCCCUUUUUUUCCCCUUUUCCCCUUUUCCCCUUUUCCCCUUUUCCCCUUUUCCCCUUUUCCCGGGACGUGGGCCCUUGGGUUCCCCAUCCUCUUUGUCACGGAACCGGGCCGAACGCCCAUGAACCGUUGACAGGAGGAAAAGUCAUGAAUAUGGAACAGGGCCCAAUGAAUACGGAUGAGUUUGGCCGUCCCCUUCGACACGGAACCGGGCCGAACGCCCGUGAACCGUUGACAGGAGGAAAAGUCACGAAUAUGGAACAGGGCCCAAUGAAUACGGAUGAGUUCGGCUUUUCGAUGGCUCACGCUUUUGGCUGGGGCUCCUCGCAGCCGGCGUGCAUGGGCGGCGCUGAGUAAAUGUCCCUGCUUUAGAACCUGACCUGGGCUUACAGAGGUUGAUUGCGCAAGGCAUGGGGGGAGGGGCCGAAAGCGGUGACCUCUGACCCCGAGGCGGGAGGGGACCGAGCGGUGACGGCUGGGAGAAGAGGCUGUACUGGUCUAUACUGGUCCAUAGUGGUUACAUUCCGGUCCGUGCUUGGCGACACUUGUUCCAUACUGGUUCCGUCCUGAGCCGUAAUGGGAGCGCUGGGCCAUAUUGGUUCCACAUUGGUUCCAUGCUGGUUUAUACUGGUCCAUACUGGUUCCAUCCGGAGCCAUAAUGGGGAGCGCUGGGCUAUAUUUGUCCAUAUUGGUUCCAUGCUGGUUUAUACUGGUCCAUACUGGUUUCAUGGUGGUCCACACUUGUCCACAGCAGGCCAUAUUGGGCUCUACUGGUCCAUACUGGGCCGUGCUGGUUCCAUAUUGGGCCAUACUGGUUCCACACUGCUCUAUUCUGGUCCAUACUGGUUUAUACUGGCCUAUACUGGUCCACACUGGACCCUCCCCGAAGCCCUCGCGGCGUCCCUCCGUCUCCUAGCAACGCCUCACGUGACCACGGACAACUUCCGGUCCAGCCUCCACCCACUUCCUGCCCUCGCUCCGUUACCAGUCUACUUCCGGUCCCUUACUGCGUCACUUCCGGCGCGACGCCUCCUCCCGUCAUGGCGGAUCCUCCGGCGCUCUCCGCUCCUCCGGGGACGGCGGAGAACGGCGCCGCGGGGCGGACCCCCACCCCACCCCGGGGAGAAGCGGGACCCGGGCCUCCCCCGCCG
rnacentral:lncRNA from 1 species